UCUGCCUGGUAGUGGGGGACAACGUUUCGAAAGGAACGCUAAUACCGCAUACGUCCUACGGGAGAAAGCAGGGGACCUUCGGGCCUUGCGCUAUCAGAUGAGCCUAGGUCGGAUUAGCUAGUUGGUGGGGUAAUGGCUCACCAAGGCGACGAUCCGUAACUGGUCUGAGAGGAUGAUCAGUCACACUGGAACUGAGACACGGUCCAGACUCCUACGGGAGGCAGCAGUGGGGAAUAUUGGACAAUGGGCGAAAGCCUGAUCCAGCCAUGCCGCGUGUGUGAAGAAGGUCUUCGGAUUGUAAAGCACUUUAAGUUGGGAGGAAGGGCAGUAAGCGAAUACCUUGCUGUUUUGACGUUACCGACAGAAUAAGCACCGGCUAACUCUGUGCCAGCAGCCGCGGUAAUACAGAGGGUGCAAGCGUUAAUCGGAAUUACUGGGCGUAAAGCGCGCGUAGGUGGUUUGUUAAGUUGAAUGUGAAAGCCCCGGGCUCAACCUGGGAACUGCAUCCAAAACUGGCAAGCUAGAGUACGGUAGAGGGU
rnacentral:rRNA from 1 species